GGGGCGGGCGGGGCUUGAUGGAGCGGGGUGAGUGAGGGAGGGGCGUAGGUGAGGGGAGAGAGAUUGAGGUGUGAGGGAGAUUGAGGUGUGAGGGAAAUGGAGGUGUGAGGGAGAUUGAGGUGUGAGGGAGAUGGAGGUGUGAGGAACAGGGAGAUAGGUGCAUAGGGAUGAUUGAGAGAGAGCAGGACUAGGAGGAGAGGAGGAAUGAACGGAACUGAGUGGAAACAGACCCACAUAUUGAGACGAAAGAAGCGACGGUACGCGAUGUAAUACUAGCGGAUGGAGGGAAGGCAAGACAGAGGAUGGAGAGGGGGUCUAGGAGCUACGUACUGGCUAAGGAAGAGAUCAAAGAAGGAGCGAGAAAAGAAGAAAUAAAUAGAGGAUGGUGGUGGUGGUGUUGAUGGUGAUGGUGGAUGUGACGAAAGAAGAAGAAGAGGAGGAGCAGGAGCCGGAGGAGGAGGAGGAAAGAGACGGAGAUAAGAAGAAAUGAAGGAGACACAUUCUGCGGAGAAAGUUAAAAGACAAAAGAAAGAAAGGAAAGAGGAAAGAAAAUUAGACCAUUAAAGGAGAAGGCGGUUGUUCUGAGGUGGAGGAAGAAGAGGAGGAGGAGGAGGAGGAGGAGGAGGAG